rnacentral:rRNA from 1 species
CCUACGGGUGGCAGCAGUGGGGAAUAUUGCACAAUGGGGGCAACCCUGAUGCAGCGACGCCGCGUGAGUGAAGAAGUAUUUCGGUAUGUAAAGCUCUAUCAGCAGGGAAGAAAAUGACAGUGCCUGACUAAUAAGCCACGGCUAACUACGGGCCAGCAGCCGCGGUAAUACGUAGGGGGCAAGCGUUAUCCGGAAUUACUGGGUGUAAAGGGAGCGUAGACGGCAGAGCAAGUCGGAAGUGAAAGCCCGCGGCCCAACCGCGGGAGUGCUUUGGAAACUGCCCGGCUAGAGUGCUGGAGAGGUGAGCAGAAUUCCUAGUGUAGCGGUGAAAUGCGUAGAGAUGAGGAGGAACACCAGUGGCGAAGGCGGCUUACUGGACAGAAACUGACGUUGAGGCUCGAAAGCGUGGGGAGCAAACAGGAUUAGAUACCCUUGUAGUC